rnacentral:rRNA from 1 species
GUGAAAUUGUUGAAAGGGAAACGCUUGAAGUCAGUUAUGUUGGCUAGGGAUCAACCUAGCUAUUUUUGCUGGGUGAAUUUUCUAGUCUGACAGGCCAACAUCAGUCUUGACUGCUGGAAAAGAGCAGAGGGAAUGUGGCACCUUUGGGUGUGUUAUAGCCCUUUGUCAUAUGUAGCAGUUGGGACUGAGGGAUGCAGCGUGCCGCGAGGCUGGGUUUCGACCACGUUCACGCUUAGGAUGUUGGCUUUUAAUGGCUUCAAUCGACCCGUCUUGAAACACGGACCAAGGAGUCUAACAUGCCUGCGAGUGUUUGGGUGGAAAACCCUUGCGCACAAUGAAAGUGAAAGUUGAGAUCCCUGUCAUGGGGAGCAUUGACGCCCGGACCUGAGCUUUUAGCAAUGGAUCCGCGGUAGAGCAUGCAUGUUGGGACCCGAAAGAUGGUGAACUAUGCCUGAAUAGGGCAAAGCCAGAGGAAACUCUGGUGGAGGCUCGUAGCGAUUCUGACGUGCAAAUCGAUCGUCAAAUUUGGGUAUAGGGGCGAAAGACUAAUCGAACCAUCUAGUAGCUGGUUCCUGCCGAAGUUUCCCUCAGGAUAGCAGAAGCUCAUUAUCAGAUUUAUGUGGUAAAGCGAAUGAUUAGAGGCCUUGGGGUUGAAACAACCUUAACCUAUUCUCAAACUUUAAAUAUGUAAGAACGAGCUGUCACUUGAUUGGACUGCUCGGUGAUUGAGAGCUUCUAGUGGGCCAUUUUUGGUAAGCAGAACUGGCGAUGCGGGA